AUGCUUUCAACACUAAAGCGGGGAUCAACUUGGAGAAGAGUUCAGUUCUCGAGGGGGCAAAACCGAAAAGUACCAGAGGAGCUGGGGUCUGGCGUGACACACGAGACGUGGUGUCUGAUCCCACGCGCGACUGAACCACCAAGAAGAGGAGUGGGGGUCGAAGGAAAAACAACCAGGGGGCCGACUGCUCUCGCUCUCCACGCUGCUCACCUACCACCAGAUCGAACCAGAGGAACACCGGAUUGGAGGAGGGAGAAAAGGGGAUCGAGGGAAGCGAGAAGGAGAACCAGAUCGAAUCCACUGCUCCUCUUCAAUGCCGACGUCGACCCGCUGUACUUCCUCAUCCCCAACCUCAAGAAACAGAGCUGUUGA
rnacentral:rRNA from 1 species